UAGUCAAUGCUCGAAAGAGUGAACUAGCUAACUGGAAUCAUAAGUGUGUCACUUGUGAUAAGGUAAAGGAAAAAUAAUGAUGUCACUUUACUAUUAGUGUUGUCCAAAGCUGGUGCCAGAAGACUCGGUAAUGCCAGAGACGCAAGCGUUAGUCAUCCUGAUCAGGCGUAAAGGGUUUGUAGGCAGCUUUAAAUUAAUUAAAGAUAGAAUCAUAUAGAGGUCACAGUCAGAUAAUUCUUAGAGUAGGGUUGAUAUCUGUAGAUACUAAGAGGAAUACUAAUUAGCGAAGGCACUUUUCCAAAUUAUGAUUGACGCUGAGAAACGAAGGGGAGAAAAGAAAAUAGGAUUAGAUACCCUGGUAUUCCUCUCUGUAAACGAUGAAUGGUAGUUGCUAGUAUUCUAUAUUAGUGGCGAUACUAACGUGUUAACCAUUCCGCCUUGUGAGUACGAUUGCAAAAUUGAAAACAAAAAAAUUAGUCGGUUUCGGAGCAAACGAAGUGAAGCAUGUUAUU
rnacentral:rRNA from 1 species